CCGGCUAUAAAUACAAGAAAAGGCGAGUAACGUCUAGAGUGUAAUUUGGCAAGCAAGUAGGAUAGAGGUAGAUGAUAAUGGGCCGACUUUCUCUGUUAGUUUUGGUGUGCAUCACCUGGUUUGGCAGCUUAGUUGUAAAGCAAUCUUGUGCAACUCCUUUGGCCGUGGUAGUCCCAUUGACUGGCGUUGAAAAUGAUAUUCAUAUAGAUGAAGAAAACUUGGCAUUGGAGCGAGGUGAACGAGACGUUGGUUCUGGUUCGGGUUUCGGAGAAGACGAGAAGUCAUUUGUGAGUAGACUUUCAGUUUAUGAUAUUGUCGUGAAAAUGAAAGUUGUUC